UUUGAGAAAUCAAUGAUUAAACUAUCAAUAAAGUAACACAACUGGAAACGCUAUAGCUGACUCCUACAAAAUCUAUUACUAUUCACAUUUACACUCUCAUUUUUCUUUUAAUUGAUGUAAUACUCAAUGAGAACAACAACUAAUGCUCAGAACUAAUCAAAUCCUAAACUUAACAAUCAUAGUACAAAUUGGUUUAACAGUCCAAUGAGUUCAUUUUUAAUCUCAGAAACCAAUUAUCAAAUGUCAACAUAUGUCAAUAUGAACUAUAUUUAAAAAUUCCUCAUACAAACUCAAAUUCAGUCCAAUUACUACAAAAUAACAGAGAUAUACAUAUCAUCAUUGCAUGAAAAAUUAAAUACACAAAUGAGAGAGAAGCUAAAUCAGGAUUGCCAUUCUUCACAUAUAUUCAGUCUUCAUAUUUUCAGCUUUCAAGUGCCAAAGUUAUAAUUGUGUACCUGGAUUGGAAAUGAACAAAGGGGGGAAGAAGUUCAGCAUCAGCAGUAAUAUGCAAGCCUCAACAAUAGCCCAGAAACCAGUUCAACAUCCCAGAGAAGUUGGAAAAACAAGCAGAUCCAAACAAACAGCUAUAAACCACUCCAAACGCACUUAAGCCAGCUCGAAAUGCACCAGUGUACUUCAGAAACAUUAUUGGAAGAAAACUCAACCAAAUUUAACUCAAAUGGGUUCAGACAAGCUCGAAAUGCACCAGCAUACUUCAGAAACAUUAAUGGAACAAAACUCAACCAAAAGUUAAAUAAAAUGGGUUCAAAUAAGCUUGUGAUUUAAUCCAAUUAAACCAGAUAACCCUCACAAACAGAAGCAAACCACCAAACUUGACUAGACCUUACUUUGACUUGAAAUACACCAAAAACACUUCUGAAAUUGUUAAUAGGUCAACUGAAGAGUGAAAUCAGUUUAGAACUCCUGAUGAAACAGUUUGAUUUUUUGAUUUUUUGUAGAUUUCUAUUGUUUUUGUGUUUUUGAGUAUGAAGAAGACUAAAAUCUAAAGGUAUUGCAUGAACUGAAAUUUUUAAAUCUAGAGAAUUAGGAGUAUUUUUAGGGAAUUUUCUGGCUGAGGACGAAUGGAAGGAAGAAGCCCCUUUUACAAGCAAUGAGGGACUCAAUUUAUAGGUCAUUCUAGGGUAAAGGAUCAGAUUUUGGUUUUCUAUUUUAGUCCCUGCCCCUUUUUCACUUUAAACCUUAAUUGUUCCUCAAGUUACUCCCUAAGUUUUACAGAAAUCUACACUAAAGCCUUAUUCUGGGAACCCAUUUUUCACUUUAAACCUUAAUUUUCUAACUUGUUCCUUAAGUUACUCCCUACGUUUUACUGAAAUCUAGACUAAAGUCCUAUUCUAUGAGCUUCUAGGAUGCUCUUUUAGCCCUAAAAUACCCAUGCUACCCAUUAACCUAUAUUGCAAUUACCAAUUCUCAAAAUAUUACCCUUUUUCAUACCCAAAUUACCCUUUAAACAGUCUGAACAUUACAGACGUGAAUUAACUGCACCCAAUCCCUCACCCCAGUUAUGAUUUAACUAAAGUUAACUAAAAUCAGCCAUACCCGAUCAAUCUAACCUAGUAAUGAACUAAUUAACACUAACAAUGACUGAAAAUAAACUAAUACUUAACUGAAACUAAUCCAAAACGAGUUCCAAAUUUAACUUCAAACAAACAAGAUAAAAUGAAAAUCUAAUUACACUGAUGACUAAUUAGCACUUAACAAUUGAGCGUUCCAGCUAUCAACAAUCAAAAUUGAACCAGAAUUUAAAACAAAGAGAUGAAAAUCAGUCUAAAAUGAAUUAAACCUAAACACGGAUAACAAAUCAAAGAAGAAGAAUUGAUGCUAAAAUUCGACUGAAAAACUACAACUAUGCUUAAUUGAAUAGAAUUCGGUCAAGUCCCCAAAUAAGUAUCAUAUGAACCAAACAAGGUAAAAUCCCAUUAAACUAACGGCUAAUUGACCAAUUGAUGCUGAGCAUUCAAACUUAGCAAAAGAAUCAAAAUAAGGUCAGAAUUUGGCCAAAGAAGUGAAGAUUAACCCAAAAUUAACCAAAACAUUUACGACCAUUAUGGCGACUUAGUUAUGAAUUAAGAAUGAUGCUUGAACGAACAGACCUAACACUGAAUCAAAAAAGAAAACUAAAGAAAAUGGAGAGAAGAAAACACUUACUGAAUUUUGGCCUUCAUGCACAUCUUUGAAACUAACUUAAAUUUAGUAUGAUACGUCCAUUUUCCUCCUAUAAUACUAGCCUGAGUUAGCUCUACCAACGAAACUAACUUAAAGUUAGUAUGAUAUGUCCAUUUUACUCGAAAUAAACCUAUAAUACUAGCCUGAGUUAGCUCAACAUUGACAAAUCACGGAGUGGCUAGGCACAACGAUUCCUAGAUUUGAAAUUGGGGGUGGCUUGGUAAGAUUCAAGAAUUUCUGGGUGGGAUUAGUAAUGAGGGAGGGACGGGGAGUAUAUGGUAUGCAUUUGGAUUAAUUUGGGCCAACUUGUGACUUGGCCGGAAGAUCAAAAUUGAAGAUUCGAAGACGCGGACUACGAUUCAAAGAUUUUCAAGCAUGGAUUCAUGACGAGGGAGAUGAGGGGAAGCUGUGGUGUCAUUUUUGGAGUUAUUGGCAUCGUCGCCGCCACCGGCGGCCUUGGGAUUUAGUGGCGGCGCAACUAGGGUUUGUGAGGUUCUCUGAGAGAUGGGGGGACGAAGGAGAUGAGACGUGCGUGGUGGGGAUCUUUCGGACAGUUAAAUACUAAGGGAAGGGGGCUUCCCAGUCGUUGAUCAUCUAAACCUAGACGGCUAGGAUUUAACGGACGUUAAACGGCGUCGUUUUGGGGAUACAAAGAUUGGGUCGGGUGAUGGGGUAUCUGGGCCUGGGCGUUUGGGCUAGGGAAGUCUUAUAAUAAUGAGCCCAAAUAGCUUUAUGUACCAACAGCCUUUUCCUUUGUUUGUUUCUUCCACUAUCUUUUCAUUUUGUAUAUAUAUAUUUUUUGUUUGUUUUUUUCCAUAAUUUUAUAAAUUUGCAACAAAAUAAAAAUAAAAUAAAAUCCUAAUAUUCCAAAACUAAUUAAAUUCUAAAAAUUAUCUAAAACCUAUUUCCCGAUAACUCCACAAUUAAAAUAAUUAAAAUGCAAAAAUGAACUAUUUAUAUGUAAUUUUCAUGUUUUGUGCUAAAACAAAUUAACUUCCAAUUAAUGCUAAAAUAUGAUAUUAAUUCCUAAAUGCAAAAAUACAUAUUUUGUAUAUAUUUUUUUUAUGAAUUAUCAGGCACAAAUAAAAAUGCAACAAUUAUCAAGAAAUGACACGAAAAUGCACAAAAAUUGUAAAACUAAGGAAAAAUCAUUUUGUUUGAAUUUUUGGUAAUUAUUCAUAUAUAGGGCAAAAAUCACGUGCUCACAGCUGCCCCUCUUUGCUUGGAAACAUGAAAUAUUUUCGGGCAAAGAUAAGUGAGCGAAUACGAGCGAUUUUGCCCGUUUGAAAAUUCUGUUGCAAAGCAUUUUGAAAAGUUUUGACCGCACCCUGCUUCAGAGGUUGCCUACAUAUCCUGAGCUAAAUAGGAAUCAGAUCAGUAUAGUUAGGGAGUGUCUGGUAGGUGGGACUACCUGGAGCUAUGAUUUCACUGCGAUUGCUGCUGCUGCUACUGCUCGCUGACCUUCCUUAUUACACCGUGUAAAAAACAAAAGAAGCUAACCUAAACUAUGAACUAUGAAUUACAAAAAUCCUAUCUAAAUUCUUCAAACUUGCUCUUGUACUUCCUUGUUGUCUUGUACUUUCUCUUGUUGUUACUUCAAGUUGUGCAUUGCGAUGUUGUUCCUUCCUUCCACGUUGCUGAACUUGAAUCUUGAACUGGAAUGUAUUCCUAUAUUCUCCAGGUAGGCUCCUGAUUGCUGAACUUGAAUUUGUUUGUCUCUGUUCUCCAAGCGGACUCCUGACUGCUGAAUCUGAACUUGACCAUAUUCCUCCGUUGUCCGGGUGUGACUUCAUGAAACAGACAAAACAAAGAAAACUUUCUGCCCCAGUUUGGAAACUGGGCACUGUUACUAGAUCUCAAUAAAAAUGUUGACUAGAACUUGACUCGAAAUACCUCCGUUAUACAGGCGGGCUCCUGACUUCACAGCUUGAAUUGUAUACCUCCGUUCUUCAGGCGGGCUCCUGACUUCAACUACAACUUGAAAUUUAACACCUCCAUUCUCCAGGCGGGCUCCUGACUGCAAAAGUUUGAAUUGUAUGUCUCUAUUCUCCAGGCGGACUCGUGACUACUGAACUUGAAAUUGAAUGUAUUCCUCUAUUAUCCAGGCGGGCUCCUGACUUCUAAAAUUUGUACUAUAUGUAUUUGUUCUCCAGACGGACUCCUGACUUCAAAAUAAACAAGAAAAUUGAUCGAAAAGUAAAAUUGGAAUUAUAUCACCUCUAUCUUUCAGGAGGGCUCCUGACUGCUAAAAUUUGAAUUGUAUGUCUCUGUUCUUCAGGCGGACUCCUGACUACUAAAUUUGAAGCAUAUGUCUUUGUUCUCCAGGCGGACUCCUGACUUCCAAUAUUCUAAAUGCAUGUCUCUAUUCUCCAGGCAGACUCCUGACUUCUGAAAUUUGAAAUGCGAACCUUUGUUCUCCAAGCGGGCACCUGACUAUCAAAAUAAAUGCAGGAAUUGAUUUAAAACUAACAAUUGGAAUUGUAUCACCUCUAUUCUUCAGGCGGGCUCCUGACUACGGAAAUUGAAACAUAUGUCUUUGUACUCCAGGCGGACUCCUGGCUACUGCAAUUGAAAUAUAUGUCUUUGUUCUCCAGGCGGACUCCUGACUGCUAAGAUUUGAAUGUAGACCUCUGUUCUCCAGGCGGGCUCCUGAUUUCACAAAAUAGACAAGACAAUGAGAAUUUUCUGCCCCAGCUUGGGAAAACUGGGGCUUGUUACCGCGUACUAAAAACUUGAAUUGUGAUGAAACUAAUACUUGAAUUGAAGCUAAAACUUGAAUUGAGAUGAAAUCUAAGCGUAACGCUUAACAUUUAAAUACUGAUAUGUACUCCUCGAUUUUUCGGGCGGGCUCCUGACUUCAACAUCUCUUCAUUCCGCUCCUUAUUUUCUUUCAUUUUACCCAUGCCACACUUGCGAUUGAACUUGAUUACUGCUUGUUUUUCCUUCACGGAGAAUCCCUCCUGACAAACAAUUCGCCUCUAUUUCAAUCACCGAAAAUUUUGUUGGUUUAAAAUGGUGAUUAGUUGAUGGCAUUCUUUGCUGCAUCAUCCUUCCAUUGCCUUGCUUUGUGUUGCCUGACUUCNNNNNNNNNNNNNNNNNNNNNNNNNNNNNNNNNNNNNNNNNNNNNNNNNNNNNNNNNNNNNNNNNNNNNNNNNNNNNNNNNNNNNNNNNNNNNNNNNNNNNNNNNNNNNNNNUGUUGCCUGACUUCCUCUGAACUGCCUGACUUUCUGACCGUCUUUCACAUUCCCCAAUUCUGACAACCUGAAUGUUUUUAUACUUCCCCUGUUGUUUCACCUUUCCAACUCUUUUGCAUGUAUCUCUUCAUUUACCACAACAUUUCCCAGAUAUUCUGCCUAUGAAACUUUCGGCAAUUUCCCCUAUCUUACUUUACAUCUCGUUGUUGCUGACAUGCUCUGGACACCUCAUGCUUUACCAUUUUCGGAAGCUGGUAGUGGGCUUUGAAAGCCUUUCCCUUUUCCACUGAGCAAAAAUAAUACUGGAACAUUUUAGACAAACAAACCCCCAGAAAAGAAUGAAAUGCAAUAAUUUUAUGAUUUAAGGAUAAGAAUAAUCCAAAACUAGAUUACUAUUGAAAAGAAAAAGAAAAAGAAAAAGAAAAGAAACUUAUAUGACCGGAACAGUUGGCACCAGUGAUCACGACAUGCAUUUCGGACUACCCGGCCCAACCGAUCCAAGUAACCAGCUCUUCAGUUGUCAUAAUUCAUUUCCCAGAACUUCCAUCACAUGAUUACUUUACCCGAACCUUAACCUCGUUCGUCCUACGAUGCCACGAACAACGUUUCACCAACAUACCUUUCUUAGUUUGCCACUUCUCAAACUCACUUUCACCCGAGGGUUCCCGUGAAGGUUUUCAGCGCUAAUACUCUCUCAUUUUUAUUUUCUCUCACAUCCCGUCACCUUACGAUGCUCGUGAGGGUUUUCACCAAUAAGACUCUCUCAUUGUUAUUUUUUACUUUCUGGCUUGGACCAGAGUGUUGCCCCUGUUGCGAAUACCAUUUCCCUGCUUGACUUGGCAUUUCUCAAAAUUGAUCAGAAGGUUUUUCUUUGGACCGUAAUGUAGGCUUUUGGAUGGGUUAGAAAGAAGGAUAUAGAAAGCUCAAAACAAUUUCAAAAUGGGUUAUAAUUACAACUUCCGGAAACAAAUUUCUCACAACAAACCAUAACUUCUGCCCCAGUUUCUUGCUUGGGGGACUUUUGGAAUUUUAUUUUGGUAUGACUGAACCUCGAAGUAAGGCAUCCUACGUAACCUUUCGGGAUCAAGUCAAACGUAGUUCACUUUAUCGUAGUUACCUUUAUUGUGAUUCUUUUUUUUUCUGGAGUAAGGCUGCAUACAUACCCUUUCGGGAUCAAGUCAAACGUAGUUCACUUUAUUGUAACUACCUUUGUUGUGAUUUUUCUUUUCCUCUCUUUUCAUUUUCUUUUGUUUUCAUCUCUUUCUUUUCUUCUUUUUCUUCUUUUUCUUUCUUUUUCUCUCUUUUCAUUUUCUUUCUUUUUUUCUUUACUUUAUGGUCGACACCUGCGUUUCUUGAUUGUGUCGUUGCUUCCGAAAGAGGGGUACUAACGAAAAUAAUUAAGGCUCAAAGGGGUAACAAAGGAUAAUAGUGUUUGGAUAGCAGCACAAAAUGCCUUCUUCAUUUCAAUCUUUGAAGUAUGCCAAAUACAAGCAAGUACAUUCACAAUAAAGAAAUCAUAUAUAAUAUCUCUUGACAACAUCAUAAUUGAUGGUAAUUUCUACGCAUUUCCCUUCUGCAUUUGUCAAAUUCAAUGCACCAUUAGACAACACCCUGGUUACUACAAAUGGCCCCUGCCAGUUCGGGGCGAACUUUCCUUUUGCUUCGGCCCAAUGGGGCAAAAUACGCCUCAACACUAACUGCCCAACCUCAUAUUUCCUCGGAAGUACUUUCUUAUUAUAUGCUAUUGCCAUCCUUUGCUGGUACAAUUGACCAUGGCACACUGAUGCCAACCUUUUCUCAUCAAUCAAGCUCAAUUGUUCCAGACGGGUCUUUACCCAUUCAUCAUUGUCAAUUUCAGCCUCCGCAAUGAUUCGAAGUGACGGGAUCUCCACUUCUGCGGGUAUUACUUCCUCGGUGCCAUACACCAAUGAAUAAGGAGUCUCCCCCACUGAAGUACGAAUGGUGGGGUCUUUACCAUUCAUCAUCGUCGAUUUCGGCCUCUGCAAUGAUUCGAAGUGACGGGAUCUCCACUUCUGAGGGUAUUAGUGCCUCGGUACCGUACACCAAUGAAUAAGGGUUUGCCCCCACCGAAGUACGAACGGUGGUGCGAUAUCCCAACAAUGCAAAAGGCAACUUCUCAUGCCCAAUGAUUCAAAGUGAUGGGAUCUCCACUUCUGCGGGUAUUACUGCCUCAGUGCCAUACCAAUGAAUAAGGAGUCGCCCCCACCAAAGUACAAACGGUGGUGCGGUAUCCCAACAAUGCAAAAUGCAACUUCUCAUGUCACUGUCUAGACCCUUCAACCAUUUUCCGCAGUAUUUUCUUUAUGCUCUUGUUGGCCGCUUCAACCGCUCCAUUUGCUUUAGGGAGGUACGGAGUAGAAUGAAGAUGAGUAAUCUUGAACUGCUCACAUGUCUCCUUCAUCAAAUUACUGUUGAGGUUAGCCCAUUGUCCGUGAUAAUCACCUUUGGUAUACCAAUCUGACAAAUAAUGUUCGCAUGCACAAAAUCCACCACAUCUUUCUUAGUCACAGAAUUGACGUCUUUGCUUCCACCCAUUUGGUAAAAUAAUCUAUUACUAUCGAAAUAAACCUGUGCCCAUUUGACGACGCUAGAUCAAUCGGCCCAAUAACAUCUAUGCCCCAAGCAACAAAAUGCCAUGGCGCUGACAUCGUAUGCAAUUCUGACGGUGGAGAAUGAAUCAAAUCUCCAUGCACUUGGCACUGAUGACAUUUGCGUACAAAGCUAAUACAAUCUCGCUCCAUUGUAAGCUAAUAAUACCCUGCCUGUAAUAUCUUUUUUUCCAAAACAUAUCCGCUCAUGUGCGGUCCACAGACUCCAGAAUGUAUCUCAUCUAUGAUAGCGGUGUCUUGCCUCGUAUCCAUGCACCUCAACUGUCCGAGAUCGGGUGUUCUUUUGAACAAUACUCUUCCACUCAGGAAAAAUCAGCUUGGCAAUCGACGAAUAGCCCUUUUUCUGAUCACCGGUGGCUUGUGCCGGGUAAACUCCCAUCCUAAUAUAUUCCAUGAUAUCGUGAAACCACGGCUCACCGUCAAGUUCCUCUUCUAUCGCAUUACAAUAAGCAUUUUAAUCAUAAACCUGAAUCUGCAACGGAUCUACGUAAGCCUUAUCUGGAUGAUGUAACAUCGACGCCAAAGUAGCCAAAGCGUCGGCAACCUCAAUAUGAAUCCUUGGGAUGUGUCUGAACUCUAUUGAUGCAAACUGUUGACAAAGCUCAUGCAGGCACUGUCGGUAUGGUAUCAGAUUCAAAUCUCGUGUUUCCCAGUCUCCUUGAAUUUGGUGCACCACUAGGUCUGAGUCACCCAUGACCAAAACUUCCUGGACGCCCAUAUCCACUGCUAAUCUCAACCCCAUAAUGCAUGCUUCAUAUUCCGCCAUGUUGUUCGUACAAUAGAAACGAAGUUGAGCCGUAACAGGAUAGUGCUGACCUGUUUCAGGAAUAAGUACGGCUCCUAUUCCCACACCUUUCAUAUUUUCCGCUCCAUCAAAGAACAAUUUCCAUCAUGGUUUCUCCACCUACUCCAACUCAUCAAUAUGUAUCACCUCUUCAUCAGGGAAGUAAGUUUUCAAAGGCUCAGAGUCAUCAUCAACUGGGUUCCCAGCUAAAUGAUCAGCUAAGGCAUGUGCUUUCAUUGCAGCAUGUGUCACAUAGAUAAUAUCAAACUCUGUAAGAAAAAUCUUCCACUUUGCAAGCCUUCCCGUGGGCAUAGGCUUCUGGAAAAUAUACUUCAGCGGAUCUAACCGAGAUAUGAGGUAAGUAGUGUAGGACGAAAAAUAAUGCUUCAACUUUUGUGCCACCCAAGUUAGGGCGCAACACGUCCUCUCUAGAUGAGUGCACUUAACCUCGUAAGAUGUAAACUUCUUGCUGAGAUAGUAGAUUGCCUGCUCCUUUCUACCUGUGACAUCAUGCUGCCCCAGUACGCAGCCAAAUGAAUUAUCCAAGACCGUCAGAUACAGGAUCAAAGGCCUCCCUGAUUCUGGCGGAACCAACAUGGGCGGAUUCGACAAAUAUUCCUUUAUCUUAUCAAACACUUUCUGACAUUCAUAUGUCCAUUUAACCGCCGCAUCUUUCUUUAGCAAUUUAAAAAUGGGUUCACAAGUAGUUGUGAGCUGAGCAGUGAACUUGCUAAUGUAGUUUAAUCUUCCCAACAAACUCAUCACUUCAGUUUUGUUUCUUGGAGCCGGCAAUUCCUAAAUGGCCUUAAUCUUCGAUGGAUCCAAUUCAAUACCCCGGUGACUGACUAUAAACCCCAACAACUUUCCCGAUGGCACACCAAAAGCACACUUCGCAAGAUUGAGCUUGAGAUUGAACCUGCGUAGCCUUUGAAAGAAUUUCUCAAAUCCCUGACAUGGUCAGACUACUUCUUUGAUUUCACAAUCACAUCAUCUAUGUACACCUCAAUAUCUUUAUGUAUUAUAUCAUGGAAGAUCGUUGUCAUAGCGCUCAUGUAAGUUGCCCCGGUAUUCUUCAAACCAAAUGGCAUGACCCGAUGGCACUAUAUUCCACAUGGCGUGAUGAAUGUCGUCUUCUCUGCAUCCUCCUGGUCCAUUAAGAUCUGAUGGUAACCCGCAUAACAAUCCAGAAAAGAACCAAUCUCAUAUUUGGCACAAUUUUCAAUCAAUAUGUGGAUGUUUGGCAAUGGAAAGUUGUCUUUUGGACUCGCCUUGUUGAGAUCUCGAUAAUAACCACAUACCCUGGUUUUGCCGUCUUUCUUUGGCAGAGGCACAACAUUAGCUAACCAAGUGGGAUACCGUGUAACUCGAAUAACCUUUGCAUCAAACUGCUUAGUGAUCUCUUCUUUGAUCUUCACACUUAUGUAUGUUUUGAACUUUCUCAAUUUCUGCUUAACAGGUGGGAGUGAGGGAUCGGUAGGCAAUUUGUGGGCCACCAGAUCGGUACUCAAACCUGGCAUAUCAUCAUAGGACCAGGCAAAAACGUCAUUAUAUUCCAACGACUCCGCGAUUAUUUUUUCCUUGAGCUGUGGCUCCAGAUGAACACUUUUUUUAGUUUCUCGAAAAUUAUCUUGAUCCCCUAGAUUAACUGCUUCUGCAUCAUUUAAGUUUGGUUUGGGUUUUUCCUCAAAGUGUUUUAAUUCCUUACUAAUUUCCUCAUAUUCUUCAUCAUCAUAUUCCUCUUCAUCAUCACAUUCAAUUUCUUGUAUUAUUAUUUCUGGGUUAGGUUGGCUUAUAAGAUCAGGCCGAGAAGUCCUCCACAUUCAUCUUCAUCAUCACAUUCAUUUUCUUGUAUUAUUAUUUCUGACUUAGGUUGGCUUAUAAGACCUGGCCGAGUAGUCCUCAUGCAUGUCAUGUCAUUGAUAUCAGCAUAAAAAGAACUGUACAAAAAAGAAAGAAAAAUGGAAACAAAAUUAGGAAAGAAGAAGGAAAUUUCAUUUCAUUAAAACGCAAAGAUAAUAGGGCUUAGCUCAUCCAAACGGAAGGAACAUAGUCACAAGGAUUACAAAUCCUGGAAUAAUCUAGGUGAAAACAAAAGAAAAACAAAGUCCCACUACCGCGCCUCCCACCAAACUGGAAGAGGAGUGGCUUCCCAAUUAUUGAUCCUAGCAUGUGGCGCAACGUACUGAAUGUCUGUAUUACUGGAUAAGAAAAUUAUAUUUCAUUAAAACGUAAAGAUAGCAUGGCUUAGCUCAUCGAAAUGGACGGAACAUAGUCACAAUGAUUACAAACCCUGGAAUAAUCCAGGUGUAAACAAAAAAGAAAAAAAAGUCCCUCUACCGUGCCUCCCUAUGAACUGGCAGAGGAGUGGCUUCCCAAUUAUUGAUCCUAGCAUGUGGCCCAACGUACUGAAUGUCUGCAUUACUGGAACCUUCACCAGCCUGAACUAUGUUUACUUCUGCAAAUACCCUUUCAAAGGCUUCAUCCAAAUUACCCUCUGCUUCCAUCAAUGAACCUGUCGCCUGUGUUUCUAAUUGCUUUUUGAACCUCGGCCUGACAAAGGACUUGGACAAAUGCGGAAUUGGUUUAGGCAGAACCCAAGCUUUCUUUUUCAACUUGCGAGCCCUUCUGAUAUCUGUUUUUGUUGGCUUGAACCCCAACCCAAAGGUAUCUAAAAUCUUUGGCAAGGAUACGGGUUGAACAAUGCCCUGAAGCUUGGCACCUAAACCUUUUCCCGGGACAAACCCAUUACACAUCAUUUCUGAAACCACCAUGACAGUUGCGGCUGCUACUCGGGGACGUGGGAUGCUUUUCCCCUCUGGUACCUUGUUCGCAUUGAUCGUUUCAAAAACCUAAUAGACCCAUGGCACUUUAUCGUCGUCAUUUUCUACAAAGGGCACAAUACCACCACUUGCAGUGCUCGUGGGGUCUUCUCCGUGUAGAACCACCUCAUCUCAUUCAAAUUUGACCAUUUGAUGCAGUGAAGAAGGCACUGCUUUAUCUGCAUGGAUCCAUGGCCUUCCCAACAAAAGAUUGCAUGACACCGCCGCGUCCAACACCUGAAACUCCAUGGUAAUCUCAAUUGGGCCAAUGAUUAACUCGAGGAUAAUGUCCCCCACCGUGUCGGUUCUGCCCCCAUCAAACCUCGGACACACACACACUAUUUCUAUCUUUAGCUUGUUCAGUGUCGAUAUCAGGCAGAUAUUGGCGCUAGACCCAUUAUCUACCAAUGCUCUGGUCACCAUUGAAUCUUCACAUUUGACUGUCAAGUAAAGGGCUUUAUUAUGCUUGGUUCCUUCCACAGUCAACUCAUCAUCAAAAAACGUUAUCCUGUUUACCUCGAAGAUCCUAUUAGCAAUUGUCUCCAAGUGGUUAACUGAAAUCUUAUCAGGUACAUGGGCUUCAUUUAAUAUUUUCAUCAAAUCCCGAUGAUGUUCAUUAGAGUGUAUCAAUAAUGACUACAUUGAAAUCUGGGCCGGUGUUUUCUUCAGCUGUUCGACAAUAGAAUAGUCAUGUACCUUCAUCUUUCUUAAAAACUCCUCUGCUUCCUCCUCUAUGACAGCCUUUUUGACCAACUAUGGACUGUCUUUAGUAUCCCUAGCCUUUCUUAUCUCCUUGGGAGCGAAGCAAUGCCCCGAUCGAGUCAACCCUUGCGCCUCACAGCUCUCCUCCUGAAUCUCUUUUCCUUUGUACGUUACUAUCACCUUCUCAUAUUUCCAGGCACAACUUUGCUAUCAACCACGAGUAUCUGAACCACUGCCUUGAUGAUCACUGGCUCUAUGUAAGCACCUUUUACAACAACUACGGGCACGGGUGACGCCCCUGGUACCACCAUCUUGACUGGCUCCGGUUUCUUUGCAACAACAGAUAAUUCUUUCCCCAUCACUAUCACUGGCUUGUCACUUGUACAUUUCAACUUCACCCUGUCUGUUCCCCAUUCGGAUUCUCUUUUGAACAAUCCUCAACAGCACGAAUCAUCAUCACAGUUUGUGAGGGCUUCUUCACUUCCCCAUCCUUGUGUACCAACUCAAUCAUGUUAGUCUCGUGAUGCACUGGAAGAGGAUUCUCAUUGUUAUUUGGUGCCUCCGGGGCCUGUACUUCAAUUCGGCAGCUGUCAAUAAGCUCCUGUACUUCAUUCUUCAACUUCCAACACUUUUCAGUCUCAUGUCCAGGCAUUCCCGAGCAAUACUCACAGCUGACGAAUUGGUCCUAGCAUCGGAUUUUGAUUGAUACUUGGCGCCUCCGAGGCCUGUACUUCAAUUCGGCGGUUGUCAAUAAGCUUCUGUACUGCAUUAUUCAACUUCCAGCAUUUUUCAGUUUCAUGCCCUGACAUUCCCGAGCAAUACUCACAAUUGACGGGCCGGUCCGGGUUUUUGGGAGGUGGGUUUGGUACUUUGGGCUCAAUUGGGGUUAACAUUCCCAACUGCUUCAAUCUAUGGAAUAAAGCGGUGUAAGAUUCUCCCAAUGGGGUAAAAGUUCUUUUGUUUGGGGCCCUCUCAUUCCAAAAAUUUUGGUUUGGGUGGAAGCCGGGUCCUGCUCUGUUAGCCCUGGAGUGUGGAUAGGUGUUUUGUGGGGGUGUAUAUGUGGUUUGGGGAGCCAGCGCACGCCAUUGUGGAUGUGCUGGGGGCUGCGUGUAUGUUUGAGCAUGGUGGACAGAGAAGUGGGGCUCUGGUGGUGGGUAAUAGUGUUGUGGUGGGUCGUAUGGGGUGUAUGGGUAGUUUGGGUGGUGGGGUCUUGGUUGGCUAUAGUAGGGUGGAGGAUUGCUAGGCCUGGACCAGGUGCUAGCUUCCACUGUGGCCACUUCUUCCUUCUUCUUCUUACCUAGCACACCACCAGUACCACUUUGUAUGGCCUACGUGGUUGCUUUCAAUGCUGAAUAACUCAAAAUUUUGUUAGAUUUUGAACCUUCUUCAAUCAUAGCGCCCAUCUUCACUACCUCAUUGAAUGAUUUGCCCACAGAAGUCACUAGGUGACCGAAGUAUGUUGGCUCCAACGUUUGCAGAAAAUAAUCUACCAUCUCAUUUUCCCUCAUUGGGGGAUCCACUCUUACAGCUUGCUCUCUCCAUAGAAAACCAAACUCUCUAAAACUUUCUUCCGGCUUCUUCUCAAACUUUAGCAAUGACAGCCGAUCAGGGCAUAUCUCGAGGUUAUAUUGAAAAUGGCCAAUGAACGCCUGUGCCAGGUCAUCCCAAGUGUACCAUCGGCUAGGGUCCUGUCUGGUGUACCAUUCCAAUGCAGACCUGCUCAAUCUCUGCCCGAAGUAGGCUAUCAACAACUCAUCUUUUCCCCCCGGAACCUCUCAUCUUACUACAAAAUCCUCAGAGGUGAGCGACCGGGUCACCUUGUCCCUCAUACAAGUCAAAUUCAGGCAACUUGAAUCCCGUAGGCAAUUGGAUAUCCGUGAAAGGGCACAAAUCUUUAUAUGCAACACUGGCUUGACUACCCAGCCCGUGCAUGUUCCUGAAGGAUUGCUCCAGGCUUUUGAAUUUUCUGAUCACUUCCUCAUGCUCUGCAUUUUAACUGGUUUCUGAACUUCUUCUGGGAUCUCAAAUUGAGGGAAAUAUGUACGGCUCAGGAUCCUUAAAGGUGGGCUCAGGCGGGUAAUAUUAGGCAUCAUGGGAUUGAAAUAAUGUUUCACUAGAGGACCUUUGUAGUGGAUCUAGAUGAGGAGCCACAAAUAUUAGAGCCACGGGCGGGGGAGGAUUUUGUUUGGGUGGUGGAGUCGGUGGGGCGUAUGAAAUGGUGGCAUACCCUUGGGUGUUAUAUUGGAAGGAUGGAGAUGUUUCGGGAGGGGAAGACUCGUAAGCCUGCGCUAGGUGCGGGAUAUAAGAGAGGUUAGCAGGAUAUACUGGUGCUGGGUGCCCUUAGACCAAGACGGUGCAUGGCCUCCAUAUGGGCUUUCAACUUCCUCAUUUCGUCUUUCAUAGCCCCUACAUCGAUCACCUCAACCUCUUUUGUGGGGUCCACAAUACUAGUUUUUGAAUCCUGUCAUGUCAUUUCUUUAUCAUUCGAACGAGUGUUGUAAUGAUGAGUUGCCAGAAUUGCCAAUAAACUAACCACUUGCCUGGGCUCACACAUUUAAACAACCACUUGGUUAAUGAUUAGUUUUAUCAGAUUUGGUGCAACUAUACAGUUAAUCAUUUCUAUUAUGCAUUUGCUCGACCACAUGUAUCACCCCGGCAUUUUGUUUCAUUUUUUCAAUCUAUCCCGCUCUUUUUUCUUUUCUUACUCUCAACCUUGUUUUUCCGCUCUUCUUUUAUUUCUUUUUCUUUUAUUCUUGCCUUUGUUUUUCCAUUUAUCCUUAUUUUAUUUUACCUUCAUUUCUUUUUUUCUUUUUGUUUGUGACUACGAUCGAAUCCUAAGGAGAGUGCCUACGUAUCGUGACUCCGCACGAAUCAGACCAAGCCUAGUUCGUGAAAAUAAAUGCGAAAAUAAAAUGAAAACAAUUUUUGGGAAUUUUCAAUAUUUCAUUAAUAACACAAACUAUUACAAACUAACAGUUUGAAAAAGGAAAGACGCCUACUAAGUCCAACUACAAACUCCAAGACUACAGGCUUAAUUUUAUAAAAAAAACGAUGGACAAACAGACUCAAAAAUAGGAAAAUACAGACACUAGAAAGACGCGUACUAAGACCAACUACAAACUCCAAGACUACAGACUUAAUUUGAUAAAAAAAAUGAUGGACAAACAGACUCAAAAAUAGGAAAAUACAGACACUAACUAGGUAUAUUCUAAUGCUUCAGAUGUAGGUGUCCGCGGGGCGUCGUUCGGCCUCUCCUCGGACCUAGGUGCCAAAUCCCUUUCCAGUUGUUCCAAAUCAUUCAUAGUUCUUUUCACAUAUAUCAUCACUGUCUAGACGAAACUAGACGUGGUCAUGUCUUUGCAUGCCUGACAUCUCCUAAAAAUGGCGUGACCAAUGGCCCUUAUCCUGUUCCUCGUUUGCCUUUUCUCCGUAAUCAAGCGCCUUAUCUAGUCACUGCAUGUUUUCACUGCCUUAGAGUCUUGGAGGUGUUGAUCUUGUAACUGCUGCACCUCUACUUCCAUUUGGUCUAGCAAGUCAUAACAAUGCCCGCUCUCAAUUUCGAAGCUUCUAGCCUGUUUUACCACUUUAUUUUCAAGGGCCACUACUUUUUCCUACAAGUCAAACACAACUUUUGCGGGAUAUUUUUUCAGUUGCUGGAGGUAUUGACGCCGCUCUUCGGAUCUUUUGGCUCAUUGUGCCUUGAGUUCCGCCCCGAUGUUCUCCGAUCUUUCCAACUCGCCGUGACACUCAUUGAUCUCAUUUUUUAAACAUUUUAUGAGUCUUUCAUCUGAUACACUCCUCCAUUGAUUCUUGUUAGCUACCUUCAUUUGUUGGAUUUGAGAUUUGAGCAUCUCAUUUUCUUGAACUAACCUAUUCUUUUCCCCUUGGUCCGCCACAACUUGCACACUGUUCUCUAAAGUCAAUUUUGCAAUCUGUUGCUUCAACUAAUUAAUUUCUGCCCGAUAUUUCUCCUUUUUCGCCAACCAAUCUCAUUGCUCUUGUGAUGUUUCGGCAAAAUCUUGGAAGUGGGGUCUUUUAGCCGGCCUUUGGUGUUCUAUUUCUCUCUUGUACCACAUGAGGUAAUUUGGUCCCACUUCACCCAUGUCCCGAUCCAACACACAAGUAUCUGCUUGUAAACAUUGACCUUCAUUCCACACUUUGCAAACUCUUUCUUCAGGAAAUUUUCCAUCCUAGCUAAUCUCAAUCACUUAGGUGCUCAAAUCCUCCUCGGGUUGAAUUAUUUGAUAUCUCCCGAGUUGUCUCAGAACCCGAUAAGGAGCAUAAGGUUGGAUGGUAUAUAGCCCCAUCAGUAGGAAAUGUGACCCGGCAACUGAAAUGUAUAUGAUUUCUCCUAGAGGCAACCAUCCCAAAGUCCACUGUAUCUAAUUGGCUCUGAGUGUCCGGAAGUACGAUACCCAUGCUUUUACACCUUCAAGCAAACUAACCCCAUCAAUUCUGGAGUAAAACUCCCCAAUACAAGUUUUAUUGGGCGAACCAUAUCUCAAAAACUGGGAAUGGUGGCAUAUAUGCUCGAUCAUCCACAUGUGCAACAACAUAUUACACCCCUCAAAAGACAUGCCCCCGACUUUACAGGCAGUAAGAGCGCGGAAUAGGUCGGACACAAUCAUAGGUGCAAGAGAACUUCCACUUUUGCUAAGCAGAGCACUAACAAUCCAGGCCACCUUUGAAUUAAUAUUCCCAUCUUUCCUUGUGAACACAAAGAUGCCCAAAAAGGUUAUCAUGAAUGCCACUCUUCUGUGCUCAUCCCACUUCCGCCGGUUAUUUUUACUGCAUAGAUGGAUAUCCGGGUUGUUGAACCCUCCCACAUGGUCGUAUCUAUCGUAUAUGAAUCAGGAAGUGCAGAAACCCUGCACCAAAUCUAGAUUGUGAACUGUCCUGGGUAUUUUCAACAUAUCUAAAACCCGCUGCACUGUGACGGCUCUUGGAGCAAGCGGAUACUUUUCUUUUAAUGGAAUCUCAUCAUUUCCGAUAUACCCAGCAAUUUCUUCCAACGUUGGGGUUAACUCAAAAUUCGAGAAGUGAAAAAUAUUAUGUACCGGGUCCCAGAAAGUAACCAGUGCUCUGAUGAUAUCACCCCGAGGAUUGAUGUCUAAUAAACCCGAGAGACACUUCAGAUAUUUCUUCACCUCAUUCUGCCCCUCUUUUUCCAAGUCAUUCCACCACAAUUUUAACUCAAAAGGGACUUUGGUUAAUAAGACCCUUCAGAUAUUUCUUCACCUCAUCUGUCCCUCUUUGCCCAAGUCAUUCCACCAUAAUUUCAACUCGAAAGGGACUUUGGUUAUUAUUGAAAAAGGUUCAUUUUCCAUCGUGCUCAUCCUGCACAUUUAUUAAGUAGAUUAAGGAAAAGGAUAACUUAUGUUCGACUCAAAAAUAAAACUAUCUACGUUCUCUUUCAAAAAAAAAUUUAAAAUGAAAGACUCCGUUUUCAAAACACGGCCUUUUAGCACUUCGGGGACGAAGAUUUAAAGGUUGUGUGAGUCAACCGGACAAAAAUCAAAACUUGACUCAAAAUGGCCAUUUUUUGCAAAGUUAGCCUUCCAGCAUCCCUUUCGGGAACAUUCGGCUAUUUUUGCAAAAACAGCAUCACUCAACUUCUACAACUCUUUUAUAUUUUCAAUUUUUUUUCAAAAAAAUAAAAUAAAUGACCCGAUGUUGCAAACACGGCCUUUCAUCGCCUUGGGAACAAAAAAUUAAGGUUGUGAGGGUCAAAAAAUCAAAACACAACCAAAGUGGUCAUUUGUGCAAGGUCAGCCUUCCGGCGUCCCGUUUGGGAACAUUCGGCUAUUUUUUUGCAAAACGUGGUCACCCUAACUUAUUUAUGACGCAAAUUAAAAUUUGACACUUUGGUUAUUUGUGAAGAAAGGUUGGACCCGAUGAGGGUUGCCUACGUAUCCCACACCCUGUGAAAAUCAAACCGGUGUAGUUCGGGCAGAUAAACUAACUAAAAUUUUAAAACAAAACUUUUCCCAAACUUUUCUCCAUUUUCUAUUUUUGAAAUCAAAUCAAAAAGACCAUUUUUUCUCUAUUUUUCAAAUAAUUUUUCCCAAAAUAAAAGACUCGUUUUCCUCAAUUUUUCUUUUGCUUUUAAUAAAACAAACUACAAAUAAAAACAUUUUCUUUUUUCCUUUCAUUUUUCAAAAUUUUGGCAGAGUUUCGACAAUGCUUGGGCAUCAGAUUUUAUCCAAAUAUUAGCUACCUAACUGCUAUUUCUCUCAUUUUUUCUCUUUUUUUUGACUUUUCUCAAAUUCCGACAUUCCAAAAACCGGUCAACAUGCAGAUUCGAACAAAUAAAUGCAUUGAACAGUUAGGAUGCACCAGGAUGGUCUUUUUAUUUCAGGUUGCUAGCCUUAGACAGACCCAACCCCUGUGUUGAUUCCCCUAAGUCAAAUGCAGCAUGAUGCAAAUAAGCGUUCCUACUAGGGAUCCGACAUGAAGUCAAGUUAUUCUAUGUACAAAACCUUGGUCGGUGUUCUAGACAGUGUACCCGAGAGAACAACUCGAAUCGAGGAGGGGGCAACUUACUGGUGACCCGCGGGGUCAGGUGGCUUAGUAACUUAUCCGGCCUCUUUCUUAUUUCAGGGUAUGACACUAACAGAACAGGGAGUCUCAACCAGUAAGCACAUCUCCGGAGGUAAAGAGAGAAUGGUGUCGGCACAGUUUAUAUAGAGUUCAAAAUAAUAUCAAAGCGGUAACAAUUAGCACAUUAAGCACGAAAAGUCUCAACCAGUAAACACAUCCCCGGAGGUAAAGAGAGAAGGGUAUCGGCACAGUUUAUAUACAGUUCAAAUGACAUCAAAGCGGUAACAAUUAGCACAUUAAGCACAAAGCAUGUAGGAAAAACAGAUAUAACAAAAUACAACAAUUUAUCUAAGCUCGAAUUCUGAACCUUGAACAAAACGUUCUGGGUUCUUAUCCCUAGUGGAGUGGCCAGAGCUGUCACACCUCCAUUUUUUCCCUAUACACCCCCCGCAAAGGGGCGUAAAGGAGUUUUUGCACUUAAAGGACAAUCGGAAUGGAAUUUGGUUAUUAUUUAUUCAGAAUCUCCACUUGGGAGAUUUAUGGUGUCCCAAGUUACCGAUUUGAAUCCCGAACUGAGGAAGAUUAUGACUCUUUUACAGUCUGCGAAUCAGAAAUCCGAGUAAGGAAUUUUGUACCCGGGAGAAGGUGUUAGGCAUUCCCGUAUUCUGUGGUUCUAGCACGGUCGCUUAACUGUUGUAUUUGAUUUUAUCUGAUUUUAAUACAUGCUAACUUAUGUGCCCUUUUAUUUAUAUACAUCUUUUACCAUUAUUUAUUUUAAAAGACUUGUGACGUCAUGAAAACGUAUUUCUAAUCACGUCACCACCAGUGUACACGUGAUCGUCGACACGUUUCGACUUCGUGGAGAUUUGGAUUUGGGUCGCAUCAAUGCACACCCCAGUUUAAGAAAGUAAUUUAAUUAACGCAUCUAAAGAUUCUAGCGUAUAUUUAUUUUGGGGAAAGCCAUGAAAUUUGCUAAACGGCCAUCCUACAUUCUAAAUUUUUUUAACCUUUAUCGAGGGCCCCGCAAUCGUUUUUGUCUGGCGAGGCUCGUCUCAAUGUCUUAUUAGAGGCCAACCUAUCAGUGACUACGAUUAUCUAUUUGUGACGUCUCUAAAAUAAAGAAAGGUCCUAAUGAUUUAUCAACCACUUGCAUCUUCAAAUUAAUUUAACUAGAGAAACGUUGGAAAGAUGGGCUACUCUUGGGCUCCAAGUGAUAGCCCUACAUAUCGUUACAAUGGAUUUAUGCUUGGCUUAGAUGUGAGUUGAAUCGAACGCUACAGAGGGAGGACUUCAGUUCGAAUUUCAACCGCAUCAGUUAACAUAUACGAAUAGAAUGGCGUGAAUGUUAAUCUUACUCAUCUUACUACUGAUUAUAUGCAUAUAAAGAAUGGCCCAUAUCAUGCAUCAAAUCCAAUUUUGUUUAACAUGCCUUCAUUACCAAGUACACAUAUUCAUGCAACCAUUACCAUUUUGAGAAAUCAAUGAUUAAACUAUCAAUAAAGUAAAACAACUGGAAACGCUAUCGCUGACUCCUACAAAAUUUAUUACUAUUCACAUUUACACUCUCAUUUUUCUUUUAAUUGAUGUAAUACUCAAUGAGAACAACAGCUAAUGCUCAGAACUAAUCAAAUCCUAAAUUUAACAAUCAUAGUACAAAUUGGUUUAACAGUCCAAUGAGUUCAUUUUUAAUCUCAGAAACCAAUUAUCAAAUGUCAACAUAUGUCAAUAUGAACUAUAUUUAAAAAUUCCUCAUACAAACUCAAAUUCAGUCCAAUUACUACAAAAUAACAGAGAUAUACAUAUCAUCAUUGCAUGACAUCUCAACAUGAACUAUAUUUAAAAUUCAUCAUACAACUCAAAUUUAGUCCAAUUACUACAAAAUAACAGGGAUAUACAUAUCAUCAAUGCAUGAAAAAUUAAAUACACAAAUCAGAGAGAAGCUAAAUCAGGAUUGCCAUUCUUCACAUAUAUUCAGUCUUCAUAUUUUCAGCUAUCAAGUGCCAAAGUUAUAAUUGUGUACCUGGAUUGGAAAUGAACAAAGGGGAGAAGAAGAUCAGCAGCAGCAGUAAUAAGCAAGCCUCAACAAUAGCCCAGAAAUCAGUUCAACAUCCCAGAUAAGUUGGAAAAAAAGGCAAAUCCAAACAAACAUCUAUAAACCAAUCCAAAUGCACUCGUACAAGCUCGAAAUACACCAGUACACUUCAGAAGCAUUAAUGGAACAAAAAUCAACCAAAAGUUAAGUCAAAUGGGUUCAAAUAAGCUUGGGAUUGAAUCCAAUUACACCAGAUAACCCUCACAAACAGAAGCAAACCACCAAACUUGACUAGACCUUACUUUGACUUGAAAUACACCAAAAUCACUUCUGAAACUGUUAAUAGGUCAACUGAAAAGUGAAAUCAGUCUAGAACUCCUGAUGGAACAGUUUGAUUUUUUGAUUUUUUGUAGAUUUCUAUUGUUUUUGUGUUUUUGAGUAUGAGGAAGACUAAAAUCUAAAGGUAUUGCUUGAACUAAAAUUUUUACUCUUAAAUCUAGAGAAUUGAGGAGUAGUUUUUGGGAAUUUUCUGGCUGAGGAAGAAUGGAAGGAAGAAGCCCCUUUUACAAGCAAUGAGUGACUCAAUUUACAGGUCAUUCUAGGGUAAAGGAUCAGAUUUUGGUUUUCUAUUUUAGUCCCUGCUCAUUUUCACUUUAAACCUUAAUUUUCUAACUUGUUCCUUAAGUUACUCCCUAAGUUUUACUGAAAUCUACACUAAAGUCCUAUUCUAUGAGCUUCUACGAUGCUCUUUUAGCCCCAAAACACCCAUGCUACCCUUUAACCUAUAUUGCAAUUACCAAUUCUCAAAAUACUACCCUUUUUCAUACCCAAAUUACCUUUUAAACAUUCUGAAAAUUACAGACCUGAAUUAACUACACCCAAUCCCUUACCCCAGUUAUGAUUUAACUAAAGUUAACUAAAAUCAACUAUACCCAAUCAAUCUAACCUAGCAAUGAACUAAUUAACACUAACAAUGAUUGAAAAUAAACUAAUACUUAACUGAAACUAAUCCAAAACGAGUUUAUCUAACAAAAUCAACUGAAAUUAAUUAACACUAAUGACUAACUAUCCAAAAUUGAAAUCAAGCAAACUAACAUCUAUCGGAACAUAUUAAAAGAAAUAUGACCUUUUAUGUUAGGGAACUGAAACAUCUACCAAAUAUAUGCCACUCAAUUAAUUACUGAAAUCCGGCCAAGUCCCCAAAUCAGUAUCGCAUGAACCAAAUAAGGUUAAAUCCAAUUAAACUAGCGGCUAAUUGACCAAUUGAUAAUGAGCAUUCAAACUUAGCAAAAGAAUCAAAAUAAGGUCAGAAUUUUUCCAAAGAAGUGAAGAUUAACCCAAAAUUAACCAAAACAUUUACGACCAUUAUGGCGACUAAGUUAUGAAUUAAGAAUUAUGCCAGAACGAAUAGACCUAACACUGAAUCAGAAAAGAAAACUAAAGAAAAUACAGAGAAGAGAACACUUACUGAAUUUUGGCCUUCAUGCACAUCUUCGAAACUAACUUAAAGUUAGUAUGAUACGUCCAUUUUACUCGAAAUAAACCUAUAAUACUAGCCUGAGUUAGCUCAACCUUGACAAAUCACGGAGUGGCUAGGCACAGUGAACCCUAGAAUCGAAACUGGGGGUGGCAUGGUAAAAUUCGAAGGUUUUUGUGUAUGGAUUAGUGGUGAGGAAGGGAUAGGGUGUACAGGGUAUAGUGAACCCUAGAUUUGAAGUUGGGGGUGGCUUGGUAAGAUUCGAGGAUUUCUGGGUGAAGAUUAGUGAUGAGGGAGGGACAAGGAGUAUAUGGUAUGCAUGUGGAUUCAUUUGGGCCUACUUGUUACUUGGCCGGAAGAUCAACAUUGAAGAUUCAAAGACGUGGACUAUGAUUCGAAGGUUUUCAAGCAUGGAUUCAUGAAGAGGGAGAUGAGGGGAAGCUGUGGUGUCAUUUU
rnacentral:lncRNA from 1 species